AGGAUUAGAUACCCUGGUAGUCCACCCGUAAACGUUGGGCGCUAGAUGGGGGCCUUUCCACGGUUUCCGUGUCGUAGCUAACGCAUUAAGCGCCCCGCCUGGGGAGUACGGCCGCAAGGCUAAACUCAAAGGAAUUGACGGGGGCCCGCACAAGCGGCGGAGCAUGCGGAUUAAUUCGAUGCAACGCGAAGAACCUUACCAAGGCUUGACAUACACCAGAAUGCCCCAGAAAUGGGGAGCUCUUUGGACACUGGUGUACAGGUGGUGCAUGGUUGUCGUCAGCUCGUGUCGUGAGAUGUUGGGUUAAGUCCCGCAACGAGCGCAACCCUCGUUCUAUGUUGCCAGCACGUAAUGGUGGGAACUCAUAGGAGACUGCCGGGGUCAACUCGGAGGAAGGUGGGGAUGACGUCAAAUCAUCAUGCCCCUUAUGUCUUGGGCUUCACGCAUGCUACAAUGGCCGGUACAAAGGGCUGCAAUACCGUGAGGUGGAGCGAAUCCCAAAAAGCCGGUCUCAGUUCGGAUCGUAGUCUGCAACUCGACUACGUGAAGUCGGAGUCGCUAGUAAUCGCAGAUCAGCAACGCUGCGGUGAAUACGUUCCCGGGCCUUGUACACACCGCCCGUCAAGUCAUGAAAGUCGGUAACACCCGAAGC
rnacentral:rRNA from 1 species